UGAGGUAAUUGUGUCAUGUGAUCCGGUAAAGAAAUUACCAUAUAUCAAUAUCAGUCAUUAAGAACUGUCUUAAGCAACUCAUAGGUGAACGCACACAGCAGGUCAUUGGUUACCGGCAUUUUGCUGAAACUCCCCUGUUAAUCUUUGGCUUCUCCCGUAUGAAUAAUAGGGCGUUGGUAAACAAUCACUGCAUAUCCCAUCCAAGGCAUAUGUCUACCUAUACACAUUGCAGAUUGAAGUAACAGUUGUGUAACAGUGUCGAUGUGAUUCAUGCAGUACAUUUGUCUGAAUAUUUCGUAUUUAAAACAAGCAUGUCACUUAAUUUUAAACAAACUAUUUUUUCUGCCAGAAAUGUCUUUGACUACAGAGAAGCAUUGUAGAUCAUACCCUAGACUAAGCCAGUGCAUUGUUUUCACCAUUAUUAUUCGCAAUUUUAAGUUGCAUACUAAUAUAUUGUAUUCAAUUGCACAAGAAAAGCUGAAGUCAACUUUCGAAAACGCCAAGGCAUUUCAAGAACUAUAUUCCUGACAUAUAUAGGCCCGGUUUUUCAAGUAUAUUUUAAUGUUUCUUUGGUAUCAGGGCGCCAUAACGCAUGAAAGAAAGAGCCGAGAAAAAGGAUCAACAAAAUUGAGGAAGAAUAAAGUAGCCAAGAGGAAUAAAGUAGCCAAGAGGAAGUCAAAACCUCUCUCAAGAAUUUAAAGACUUUUUGGAUUGGAUAGAACAUCAGGGGAAAGUCAUUUUUUAAAUGUGGAACUUUCUGUGCAUAUUAGGAUUUUAGCUGAGGAAUUCUACACAUACACACACAUACACACACACACACACACACACACACACACACCAUGCAAAGAAUUGAGCAAAAUAAUAGAUUUACUACUUUACCCAUGUGCUACUUUAGUGCACGUUUGUUUUGUCCAAAUCCAAAGACAAAUAUUCAAACUUUAUCCCAGGAAUAACAGGUCAAUUAAAAUGUUGAAGGCCGGCAUUGAUGGAGACAUUUAGAUAUGCACACUGCCAAGUCCAAAACAACUCUUCUGGCUUUGAACGUCUGCUGUCUGAGACGAUGUGCACCCAGACAUCACCAAUACCCGUCAGCAGUCAAAUCAUUUUAUUGCACAGACAAAAGGAUGCGUUCUAGUUUAAGUGUAUCCAAGACACUUUACCAUGAAACGCGCACAGAGCCACAUUGUUGCCAUUGCAUUAUCCAGCGGAAUCUUACGAUAUUCUGUUCUGAUGAUAAAGAAUAUAUGUAUACAUGUAAAUUGCAUUUGUACAUGCAUUCAAGGCUAAAACGCCAUGUGCGUAAUACGUGUUUAUCAAUACAUGUAAGGUAUUAACUGCUAAACUGAUUUGGUUUAGCCUACAUUUGGGAACGAUGUAGACAUUUGAAUCCACAUUUGCACCUGUAAGUAUUUCUUUCAUUUUCUGUCUUUACAUAAUGCGUCUGGCGCUUUUUAACAGCAGACUAAAAUAUUGCAUGAAUUUAUUUACUGGCAUGUUGUUUGAAAACUCAUGAACGCAAAGUUUAAAUUUUUAAUGUAAUUUAAAGUGAUAAUUCCACUUCACACAUGGUUUUAAAAUAUUGUUGCAAUUAGUUGCCUAGCCUACGUAUAGCCGCAUUGUAACACUGUUUCUUUUGUCAGUGGAAACAGUGAGGCCUUCUCUAAUUGUCUGCGGUUUAACCAUAAGUAUCUGGAGCGCAUGAACAGGCAGUGUCUGGCGGUGUUUUCUUAAAGGAGCUUGAAAGAUGGAAAAACAACCUCAACCCCAUUUGGCGAUCCACAGGCUUUUCGACUGGUCAGAUCUGAAGAGGGGCGUCUCGGGAACAUUGUUAGAAUUAUUCCAUGGAUGCACCGUUUUUAGUUGCAAAUAGUUUCCAAUGGUAAUGUUAACUUGAUUAAUAUCUUAGUUAUUCCAAAAGCAAGGAAGUAGGUCAUCAUAGUUUCUUUUUAAAUUGUUGUGUAAUUUCCAAAUAAAGCAGUAUUGUAGGCAAAUAGCUGUUACAAAUGCAAAAUAUGUUGUAUAUGUCUAAAGACUAUCUAUCCAUGUCAACGAAAUGGGCACUUGGCUUGGCCUAUAAUAAUACAUUUGUUUAAUGGAAAACAAAUUUGAAUAUGACAAACAAUGUAGCGUACUGUUGCUUGAAACACAUGGAGUGAAUGCAUACGUUUUUGGCCAAACGUUUUACUCGAUGUCCUCAUUUGCUUAAUUUGAAGACAUUUAGGCCUACUCGUGGUCGAAAUAUAUUGGCUUUAUUAAACGAUGUGCCCAUUACAAUAAAUGCUAUUAAAUG